UCGGGAAUUUUGGGCAAUGGGCGAAAGCCUGAUCCAGCCAUGCCGCGUGUGUGAAGAAGGUCUUCGGAUUGUAAAGCACUUUAAGUUGGGAGGAAGGGCAUUUACCUAAUACGUAAGUGUUUUGACGUUACCGACAGAAUAAGCACCGGCUAACUCUGUGCCAGCAGCCGCGGUAAUACAGAGGGUGCAAGCGUUAAUCGGAAUUACUGGGCGUAAAGCGCGCGUAGGUGGUUUGUUAAGUUGGAUGUGAAAUCCCCGGGCUCAACCUGGGAACUGCAUUCAAAACUGACUGACUAGAGUAUGGUAGAGGGUGGUGGAAUUUCCUGUGUAGCGGUGAAAUGCGUAGAUAUCAAGAGGAACACCUGAGGCGAAGGCGGGUUGCUAGGCUGAUACUGACGCUGAGGCGCGAAAGCUAGGGUAGCAAACGGGAUUAGAUACCCUAGUAGUCCCUGAGCGGGCUGGCAAGGCGCAU
rnacentral:rRNA from 1 species